GAUGAACGCUAGCGAUAGGCUUAACACAUGCAAGUCGAGGGACCGGCGGAUGGGUGAGUAAUGUAUGGGGACUGCCCGAUAGAGGGGGAUAACUACUGGAAACGGUGGCUAAUACCGCAUACUAUCGGAUAACCCAUAUGGGAUUAGCUAGUAGGUGGGGUAAAGGCUCACCUAGGCGACGAUCUCUAGCUGGUCUGAGAGGAUGAUCAGCCACACUGGGACUGAGACACGGCCCAGACUCCUACGGAGGCAGCAGUGGGGAAUAUUGCACAAUGGGCGCAAGCCUGAUGCAGCCAUGCCGCGUGUAUGAAGAAGGCCUUAGGGUUGUAAAGUACUUUCAGCGGGGAGGCGUUACCCGCAGAAGAAGCACCGGCUAACUCCGUGCCAGCAGCCGCGGUAAUAC
rnacentral:rRNA from 1 species